rnacentral:rRNA from 1 species
UACUUUCAACAAGAAAGAAAUAAUAAAAUUUAAUAAAUUUUAUUACUGACGUUACUUGUAAAAGAAGCACCGGCUAACUCCGUGCCAGCAGCCGCGGUAAUACGGAGGGUGCGAGCGUUAAUCGGAAUUACUGGGCGUAAAGAGCACGUAGGCGGUAUAUUAAGUCAGAUGUGAAAUCCCUGAGCUUAACUUAGGAAUUGCAUUUGAAACUGAUAUGCUUGAGUUUCGUAGAGGGGGGUAGAAUUCCAGGUGUAGCGGUGAAAUGCGUAGAUAUCUGGAGGAAUACCAGUGGCGAAGGCGACCCCCUGGAUGAAUACUGACGCUGAGGUGCGAAAGCGUGGGUAGCAAACAGGAUUAGAUACCCUGGUAGUCCAUGCUGUAAACGAUGUCGACUUGAAGGUUGUAAGCUUGACUUGUAACUUUCGUAGCUAACGCGUUAAGUCGACCGCCUGGGGAGUACGACCGCAAGGUUAAAACUCAAAUGAAUUGACGGGGGCCCGCACAAGCGGUGGAGCAUGUGGUUUAAUUCGAUGCAACGCGAAAAACCUUACCUGGUCUUGACAUCCAUGGAAUUUAGUAGAGAUACUUUAGUGCUUCGGGAACCAUGAGACAGGUGCUGCAUGGCUGUCGUCAGCUCGUGUUGUGAAAUGUUGGGUUAAGUCCCGCAACGAGCGCAACCCUUGUCCUUUGUUGCCAACGGUUCGGCCGGGAACUCAAAGGAGACUGCCGGUGAUAAACUGGAGGAAGGUGAGGACGACGUCAAGUCAUCAUGGCCCUUACGACCAGGGCUACACACGUGCUACAAUGGUAUAUACAAAGGGAAGCAUCCUCGCGAGAGUAAGCGGAUCUCACAAAAUAUAUCGUAGUUCGGAUUGGAGUCUGCAACUCGACUCCAUGAAGUCGGAAUCGCUAGUAAUCGUAGAUCAGAACGCUACGGUGAAUACGUUCUCGGGCCUUGUACACACCGCCCGUCACACCAUGGAAG